rnacentral:lncRNA from 1 species
AAAAAAAAAAAAACCUUUUCAGAGAAGCUUCGCGCUUCGCCUCGCCAUGUCGCCCGAAAGGCAAAAAAAAAAAAAAAAAAAAAAAAAAAAACCUUUCUGAAAAGAUCGCUCCCCUCCCACCCCGAGUCCCCGACCCCAAAAGAAGGGUUUGCCCUAACUUCUCACUCCUGCGGCGGUCGCGGUUCUUCCCCUCCCCCUCUUCUGUCAUGGUGCGACCAUGACGGCGAGCAGAGGAGCAGUAGAUAGAAGGUAAAGGAGUAGAGUGAGACAAUGGAGGAUCCAUGGUAGGAGGAAGCAAGGCGGCGGUGUGAUCUAUGGGAGAGAUAGGCUAACGGGUAGUGGGCUCGCACUCCCUCACUGUAGCGUCACCAAGCCCGACUCCGCACCUUGAUUCGGCUUUCGGGCGACGGGUCCGCGCUCUCUCACAGCUGCAUUGUCGGACCCGACUCCGCUUUCUUGGAGGGAGGCGUAUUGAAGCCACAGGAGUUGAUGCAAUUAGUACUAAUACAAUUACUACCAUACCCCUGCCAUUAUAACUCUUACAUUUUGGCCCUCUAGAUGGAAGCAGUAUAUGUAAUGAACUCACUUCUGUAAUAGACAAGCAAGAGAUAAAUAAAAUCCCAAUUUCCCAAAUCCCAAGUCUGGAUGGAAGCAUAAAUCUUGAGAGAAAAAAACUUAAUUUAAUAGCCGAAUUUUUGAUCCCGAAUUUUUGAUUGGUAAACGUAUAAUAUUCGUAUAAAUCACGUAUCCGAAUAAUUGACGAAUCCGUUUUUUUACCGUUUUUUUCAACGAAUUUAAAAAUUAGAAGACGAAUUUUAUCCGAAUUAUAUCCGUACCGAAUUUUUACCGAAUCCGAAUUAACUAACUAUACCCGAAGUGUAACAAAGUCUAUGCAUACAUAUCCAAUAAGAGAUGUUAGCAUUCAACAUUGAGAGAGGCAAUCACAGAUACAAGAGAAUUUAAACUAUCCAUUACAUCACUUGUUCACACACAAGAAACAUUACAUAUUUCACUUGACUUCUCAUACAUAUAACCAAAAUGCCAUCCCUCAAAUACAUUACAUUUCUUCACAAAAGGGUUUUACAUAUCAUUCUUUCCUUUUUAUACUUGAGGGUAGUGAGCUAAUGCCGGUGGUCCACUCUAUCUACUGUGCGACGCCCUUGCCGCGAUCCUCGACACACGCGCUCGAACUAGGCUCUGCAAAACAGGGUGUGAGAACUAUUAUCCAUAGUUCCCAGUGGGUUCGGCCGCCGACCCCGCCGAUUUUCCCACUAGGUCCAAGAAAGGCAUAGAAACAAUAAAGAGGUCAACAUGUCAAAGGAAUAAUAGAUAUAACAAUAAGCCUACCUUGCUCAUCCACAUCUAUAUCAUGCUCAAAUGUGUAGCUAUGCCUUUACCAAUGAUGCAAUCAUGUCAACAAGUAUAUGUUUAAGUUCUGUCAUGUAUGCAANN